rnacentral:rRNA from 1 species
GACGAACGCUGGCGGCGUGCUUAACACAUGCAAGUCGAACGGAAAGGCCCUGCUUUUGUGGGGUGCUCGAGUGGCGAACGGGUGAGUAACACGUGAGUAACCUGCCCUUGACUUUGGGAUAACUUCAGGAAACUGGGGCUAAUACCGGAUAGGAGCUCCUGCUGCAUGGUGGGGGUUGGAAAGUUUCGGCGGUUGGGGAUGGACUCGCGGCUUAUCAGCUUGUUGGUGGGGUAGUGGCUUACCAAGGCUUUGACGGGUAGCCGGCCUGAGAGGGUGACCGGCCAAAUUGGGACUGAGAUACGGACCAGACUCCUACGGGAGGCAGCAGUGGGGAAUAUUGCACAAUGGGCGGAAGCCUGAUGCAGCAACGCCGCGUGCGGGAUGACGGCCUUCGGGUUGUAAACCGCUUUCGCCUGUGACGAAGCGUGAGUGACGGUAAUGGGUAAAGAAGCACCGGCUAACUACGUG